rnacentral:rRNA from 1 species
AGUGAGCGCUGGCGGUAGGCCUAACACAUGCAAGUCGAACGGCAGCACAGUAAGAGCUUGCUCUUACGGGUGGCGAGUGGCGGACGGGUGAGGAAUACAUCGGAAUCUACUUUUUCGUGGGGGAUAACGUAGGGAAACUUACGCUAAUACCGCAUACGACCUACGGGUGAAAGCAGGGGAUCUUCGGACCUUGCGCGAUUGAAUGAGCCGAUGUCGGAUUAGCUAGUUGGCGGGGUAAAGGCCCACCAAGGCGACGAUCCGUAGCUGGUCUGAGAGGAUGAUCAGCCACACUGGAACUGAGACACGGUCCAGACUCCUACGGGAGGCAGCAGUGGGGAAUAUUGGACAAUGGACGCAAGCCUGAUCCAGCCAUACCGCGUGGGUGAAGAAGGCCUUCGGGUUGUAAAGCCCUUUUGUUGGGAAAGAAAAGCAGCAGGUUAAUACCCCGCUGUUCUGACGGUACCCAAAGAAUAAGCACCGGCUAACUUCGUG